rnacentral:rRNA from 1 species
CCUACGGGAGGCAGCAGUGAGGAAUAUUGGUCAAUGGGCGCGAGCCUGAACCAGCCAAGUCGCGUGAGGGAUGACGGCCCUACGGGUUGUAAACCUCUUUUGCCGGGGAGCAACGGGCGCCACGUGUGGCGCCACUGAGAGUACCCGGAGAAAAAGCAUCGGCUAACUCCGUGCCAGCAGCCGCGGUAAUACGGGGGAUGCGAGCGUUAUCCGGAUUUAUUGGGGUUACAGGGUGCUUAGGCGGAUCGUUAAGUCAGUGGUCAAAUUGAGGGGCUCAACCCCUUCCCGCCAUUGAAACUGGCGCUCUUGAGUGGAAGAGAAGUAUGCGGAAUGCGUGGUGUAGCGGUGAAAUGCAUAGAUAUCACGCAGAACUCCGAUUGCGAAGGCAGAAUACCGGCGCUCAACUGACGCUCAUGCACGAAAGUGUGGGUAGCGAACAGGAUUAGAUACCCUUGUAGUC